GAUGAACGCUGGCGGCGUGCCUAAUACAUGCAAGUCGAGCGAACAGACGAGGAGCUUGCUCCUCUGACGUUAGCGGCGGACGGGUGAGUAACACGUGGAUAACCUACCUAUAAGACUGGGAUAACUUCGGGAAACCGGAGCUAAUACCGGAUAAUAUAUUGAACCGCAUGGUUCAAUAGUGAAAGACGGUUUUGCUGUCACUUAUAGAUGGAUCCGCGCCGCAUUAGCUAGUUGGUAAGGUAACGGCUUACCAAGGCAACGAUGCGUAGCCGACCUGAGAGGGUGAUCGGCCACACUGGAACUGAGACACGGUCCAGACUCCUACGGGAGGCAGCAGUAGGGAAUCUUCCGCAAUGGGCGAAAGCCUGAUGGAGCCACGCCGCGUGAGUGAUGAAGGUCUUCGGAUCGUAAAACUCUGUUAUUAGGGAAGAACAAAUGUGUAAGUAACUAUGCACGUCUUGACGGUACCUAAUCAGAAAGCCACGGCUAACUACGUG
rnacentral:rRNA from 1 species